AAAAAAAAAAAAAAUCUGGGUAGAAUUCCAGCAACAUUAAUUAUUAUUGCAGCUUCAUAGCACAGCAAUUUUCCAUUGAAACCAAACAGCACCUUUCCUCUUUAUUUACACUGCACAAGUUAUUAUAAAUUGCUUAAGUUCAGCAAAUUGGACAAGGGAAAGCAUCUCAAGCCAGAAAUUUGUACGCCAUGAAAGUUGAUAGCAGCAUGAAUUUUUACACUAUUGAGAAUUAGGAUUAAAUGUGUUAAGCUCCUGAGCACAUAUAGAUGAUGAGGCAAUUAAUGAUGCAUCUGAUCCAUGAGAGGACUGAGUUUUGCUCGAACUAUCAUGUGAAAUUUGAUCAAACUUGUUCCUUGAACCUUCAAAACCCAAUCCAUCACCAUACAUACUAGGGCCCACGACCACUUCAUGAACAGCAGUUCGGCCUUCAAGCAUACUUACUACUUCAGACAUUGUAGG
rnacentral:misc_RNA from 1 species